GCCAGUCUGGGAUCAUGAGGGCCCGGAACCAAAGCAAGGUUUCUUCAGCCCCUCUUUGCCUCCCAACGCUGCAAAACAAACGAGACGUUGCUAAAAGCAUCAGAGAAACCUGCCAUCCCCGCUCUGUGUUUCUCAGGAGGAGGGAUCGCAGCGCUGAAGCCGUGGCUAUAAAUAUCAGAGUUAAUGAGGGAGGACUCCUGGAGACCUAAAUGUAUCCAUUUUACGGGGUUAAUUACAGUGGCCUCUGAGAGGAAAGGACUUCUUGCUGAUGACAUCCUGAAGCUGUGACAUUUGCCGUCAUGUAAUUGGGUUGUCCUGAAAUCCUGGAGCUGCAUGCACCGGGCUGGAGAGCAGGCACUUCUGGGAAAAACCGAGCUGGAAGGUGACAUCCACAUUCACGGGCCUCUCUCCUCCCCAGCACGGCUGGUUGUUCACCACACAAGGGAUCACACAGAGGGUCUAAGACUCAGCCCUUCCUAUGUUCACAAGCCUACUGUCUGAGUUAGCAACUCUCAGCUCAUCCUCAUCGUCAGACUGAUGUGGGAGCCGGGGCUCCUAGAGCAACUGAAAGAAAUGACUUCCGGAAAGCCACCAGAGGAAAGGAAAUCAAAAGCCAAGUGACCUGGCUGAGCAGGACAUGACAUGGGUGGAUCAUAAGGGAAGUUUCAUUGUGGAAAGAGUGCCCAUUAGUCAUUAGCCUGAGAUUGUGAGAAAGGAAUUUUAAUCCCACAUUGUUCCCAUCUCUGAUUUAUUGGGAAUACGAAGUACAUAAAUGCCCAAACCCUUGCUGAGUGUCAGAGCUCUCCUUUAACAUAGGACCUCCGGGGCCAAGUCAGGUGGAAUACAGAUAAGUUGCACACCAGUUCUCACUUGACUACGGGUAGGCUCAAAUGCAUGGCUUGGGAAUUGUUAUGGCGUAACCUGUCCUUUUCCAA